rnacentral:rRNA from 1 species
GCUAUACAUGCAAGUCGAGCGCGCCCUUCGGGGUGAGCGGCGGACGGGUGAGUAACGCGUGGGAAUAUGCCCUUCUCUAAGGAAUAGCCUCUGGAAACGGAGAGUAAUACCUUAUACGCCCUUUGGGGGAAAGAUUUAUCGGAGAAGGAUUAGCCCGCGUUAGAUUAGGUAGUUGGUGGGGUAAUGGCCUACCAAGCCUACGAUCUAUAGCUGGUUUGAGAGGAUGAUCAGCCACACUGGGACUGAGACACGGCCCAGACUCCUACGGGAGGCAGCAGUAGGGAAUCUUAGACAAUGGGGGCAACCCUGAUCUAGCCAUGCCGCGUGUGUGAUGAAGGCCCUAGGGUCGUAAAGCACUUUCGCCAGAGAUGAUAAUGACAGUAUCUGGUAAAGAAACCCCGGCUAACUCCGUGCCAGCAGCCGCGGUAAUACGGAGGGGGUUAGCGUUGUUCGGAAUUACUGGGCGUAAAGCGCACGUAGGCGGAUUAGUAAGUUAGAGGUGAAAUCCCAGGGCUCAACCCUGGAACUGCCUUUAAUACUGCUAGUCUUGAGUUCGAGAGAGGUAAGUGGAAUUCCGAGUGUAGAGGUGAAAUUCGUAGAUAUUCGGAGGAACACCAGUGGCGAAGGCGGCUUACUGGCUCGAUACUGACGCUGAGGUGCGAAAGUGUGGGGAGCAAACAGGAUUAGAUACCCUGGUAGUCCACACCGUAAACGAUGAAUGCCAGACGUCAGCAAGUAUACUUGUUGGUGUCACACCUAACGGAUUAAGCAUUCCGCCUGGGGAGUACGGUCGCAAGAUUA